GUCUUAUGGCCAACAUUUAGACACAUUCGCCAUCACCGCCAUACAUGUUCAUCUGCAGUCAGAACUGAGUUAUUGUGUUACUGUUUGUCACAACAGUAAAUUGUCUCACCGUGACAAGGUGACCAGCUCUCUGAGACAGAGGAUUAUGGAAGCAAUGCGUGCGACUGGAGCCCCUGACAGGCACCGCAGUUUUAAUGGUUCCUCCAACGUGGCGAGAAAAACAACACGUGAUGUCCGGCAUUCAUUGCCCAUUUCAAAGCCAAACCUAGGCUGUGGACAGGUGAAACCGGUAAGACAGGGUCACAACGGUAAUUACACCAACUUCAGCCUCUUGGGCAUGUUAUGUAAUAUGUCCAUCUAUCCACCCAUCCAUCCAUUCACCCUCUACAGGAAGAUGCCACACUAACAUGGCCCUACCUCACAGGAAGAUGCCACACUAACAUGGCACACUCUCCACAGGAAGAUGCCACACUAACAUGGCACACCCUCCACAGGAAGAUGCCACACUAACAUGGCACACCCUCCACAGGAAGAUGGCACACUAACAUGGCACACUCUCCACAGGAAGAUGCCACACUAACAUGGCCCUUCCUCACAGGAAGGCUUCCUGACCCUGGAGGCGCCAUGGCGCCCCCUCAGCAAGAUGGCGGGCAGCCUGGGGAGAGCCCAAUGGGACGGCCGCUCUGGCGGGUUCGAUGGAGCAAGCGACUCUGACUGCGCACGACUGCGCACGACUGCGCACGACUGCGCACGACUGCGCAGAAGACCUGGGGAGAUAUUGGGAGCGGUGGUGUUUACUGGGAUAGGGGCAUCGUCCCCAAGGAAACAAUGCUCGGAGAACGAGGGCAAUGAGGACUCAGACUGGGAAGACAGGCUGGUUAGACUAACCCGCAACUGGGUUCUAUGAACUAAACUUGCCUGUGGCAUUAAUGUGCCAUUUAAUGCGCCUGUAAGGUUCUAGCAUUAAUGUGCCAUUUAAUGUGCCUGUAAGGUUCUAGCAUUAAUGUGCCAUUUAACGUGCCUGUAAGGUUCUAGCAUUAAUGUGCCAUUUAACGUGCCUGUAAGGUUCUAGCAUUAAUGUGCCAUUUAACGUGCCUGUAAGGUUCUAGCAUUAAUGUGCCAUUUAAAAUGCCUGUAAGGUUCUAGCACAGGGCCCUAGAACAUCCUCAGGAAGCUUGGCCACGCACUCCCAACGUACACAUUUCCCCGUUUUGCCGUACCCCGAGGUCCCUUGUAGCUCAGUUACAAAUCAAGGAGGAAUAUUAGAAUGUGAUUCAGUUCUGCUAUUCAUGUUAAAAGAAAACCAUUCGAAUU